CUAUUCUUCGACUAUUUGCGCUACUGGAGAGAACUCGCCGACUAUUCGCCGACUAUGCCCUUGUAUCCGUCCAAGGUAUAUACUGUACUAUAGGGACUUAUCACGAAAUUCAAUAUCUCUUGAGAAUAAUGUGCCUAAUUGUUCUUUUAUCGUCCCACCGUUUAUUACGAUGCCCAACGCAAUGAACCUUGAUGUCCAACGACACUGCAUCUUUUGCCCUUUUGUCUUUCCAAAAUCCUUACACUGGAUUAUUAUACCUGAUGUCCAAUAUCCUCAGACAAGUACGUCCCAUACUACCCGUACAGCUUUCCAGCACCCCGGCCUUUACUGAUUUAUUUACGUUUUCUUAUGCAAACUAUUUUCUACUGUCCUAUAGUGAGAUGUAACUUCGAUCAAGGUGACCUGUGUUCCUUCAUAAAUGGUGCCAAUGAUAAUUUUGACUGGACGGUUCGUAGUAUAAGUACACCAAGUACUGCUACGGGACCUUCGCGAGACGUUUCAGGAAAUGGUAA